GCCAGGCGUAGUGGUGCACACCUGUAGUCUCAGCUACUGAAGAGGCUGAGACAGGAGGAUGGUUUGAGCCCAGGAGGUUGAGGCUGCAGUGAGCCAGGAUCACACCACUGCACUCCAGCCUGGGCGACAGAACCAGACCCUGUCUCAA
ensembl:misc_RNA Metazoa_SRP Metazoan signal recognition particle RNA